GCAUAUCAAUAAGCGAGGAAAAGAAACCAACCGGGAUUGCCCCAGUAACGGCGAGUGAAGCGGCAAGAGCUCAAAUUUGAAAUCUGGCCCCUCCGGGGUCCGAGUUGUAAUUUGCAGAGGAUGCUUCGGGUGCGGCCCCUGUCUAAGUGCCCUGGAACGGGCCGUCAGAGAGGGUGAGAAUCCCGUCUUGGGCAGGGUGCCCGUGCCCGUGUGAAGCUCCUUCGACGAGUCGAGUUGUUUGGGAAUGCAGCUCUAAAUGGGUGGUAAAUUUCAUCUAAAGCUAAAUACCGGCCGGAGACCGAUAGCGCACAAGUAGAGUGAUCGAAAGAUGAAAAGCACUUUGAAAAGAGAGUUAAACAGCACGUGAAAUUGUUGAAAGGGAAGCGCUUGCGACCAGACUCGGCCCCGGGGUUCAGCCAGCACUCGUGCUGGUGUACUUCCCCGGGGGCGGGCCAGCGUCGGUUUGGGCGGCCGGUCAAAGGCCCCAGGAAUGUAUCGCCCUCCGGGGUUGUCUUAUAGCCUGGGGUGCAAUGCGGCCAGCCCGGACCGAGGAACGCGCUUCGGCACGGACGCUGGCGUAAUGGUCGCAAACGACCCGUCUUGAAACACGGACCAAGGAGUCUAACAUCUACGCGAGUGUUCGGGUGUCAAACCCGUACGCGCAGUGAAAGCGAACGGAGGUGGGAGCCCCCCCGGGGGCGCACCAUCGACCGAUCCUGAUGUCUUCGGAUGGAUUUGAGUACGAGCGUAGCUGUGGGGACCCGAAAGAUGGUGAACUAUGCCUGAAUAGGGCGAAGCCAGAGGAAACUCUGGUGGAGGCUCGCAGCGGUUCUGACGUGCAAAUCGAUCGUCAAAUUUGGGUAUAGGGGCGAAAGACUAAUCGAACCAUCUGGUAGCUGGUUCCUGCCGAG
rnacentral:rRNA from 1 species